GCCAUAUGUUGAAACACCAGUUCUUGUACGAUCACUGAAGUUAAGCAACAUCAAACCUGGUCAGUACUUAGAUGGGUGACCACUCGAAAAUACCAGAUGCUA